GAGGGAGGGUGCGAGCGUUGUUCGGAAUCACUGGGCGUAAAGGGCGCGUAGGCGGCCGUGCGUGUCGGGUGUGAAAGCCCGGGGCUCAACCCCGGAACGGCACCCGGGACUGCGCGGCUGGAGAACGGGAGAGGAGGGUGGAAUACCCAGUGUAGAGGUGAAAUUCGUAGAUAUUGGGUGGAACACCGGUGGCGAAAGCGGCUCUCUGGUCCGGUUCUGACGCUGAGGCGCGAAAGCGUGGGGAGCAAACAGG
rnacentral:rRNA from 1 species